CGGAGCGUAGCGCAGCCCGGUAGCGCACCGGUCUGGGGGACCGGGGGUCGCAGGUUCGAAUCCUGCCGUUCCGACCA
rnacentral:tRNA from 2 species